AGGGUUGAGGGCUAAUCAGUACAUCAAUCUGCAGCAGAUUGCUUUCUCUGCCUUUCAAAUGCAAACCUAAGAACCUAGCUGUACAGCCAAAGUCAGGGUUUGGAGAGGGCAAAGGAGAGGAUUUCCUUGCUGCUUUCUCAGUCACAGACUUGGGUUUGCAGAGCAGCUUCUCCACUCUGUAAAUAGCACCUGUCUUGCUCGACUAAGAGCUGUACAAGAAGCCAGGCAAAGAGGAGUGUGCCAAGUGGGAGUAAAUAUGUCUGAGCUUUGUCAGCUACUGGUGCCACUGCCAGUUGGGAAAAGGAGCUUUAGGUCCACGAUGGAAAAGUAAGGAUGAGCAUCCUCAGAGUGGGACUGGAAUGAGCCUAAAGGCUACAAAAUCUCUCAAUGCAGACCAUGAGAGGAUUAACAAGAUCUCCUCAAAAAUUGAAAGCAACCAAAAAGCAGUUAAUUUACCUGUUGUAUAAAGCAAAUCUUUGUGAUACUAUCUUCUCAAAUAAGUUUUUUAAUAUGGACGCAAUGGAAUAAAGUGUUGUGUAAGCACACCAACCUGAGAAUGUGGAGGAGGAUCCAUUUUUGUCCCGCACUACCUUACGUGACGUGACCUUGCUUAAUCUCCCCAUACCUCAGACUUCCCUUUGGUAAGUGAAGAUGAAGGAUGUAUCCCCUGACGUAGGU